UGCUCACACUUCUUCCUCUAUGAAGAGUUGAGUGCUGCUCUUACUUGAAUAGCUCAAAAUUUUCUGGGUUUUAAGCUUGUUCUCUUUGUGAAUGGUGUGUAAUGAAGAUGGGAUUUCCAGCAGUCAUAGUGUAGCUGAUCUCACCAAUGGCUCUGUAGUAACCGGGGAGUCACCCAAGAUGGUAUAAGAAUAUCCUUACAUUAUCUUAGCUUCUUUCACACUCUUGUAUCUCUUGAAAUGUGUCAACAAUUUCAAGAGAUACCCGUCGAGUCAAUGAUCCUCAGCACCCACCUCUCCCCCAAAGAGGCCCUCCUUCUCAGGUCCUAUACACCAAUUAAUAUUACAUCUAUGAAAUUCUUAUUGCUUAUUUGGUUUAUUUGAUCGUCGCUGAAAUCUAAUUGUUAUACUUAUAGGACAUCCUCGAAUAGAUGGGAAGGAAUUCUUUCGGCAAGCUAGGACCCAUCUCUCUUAUGAACAGUUUGCUGCAUUUUUGGCCAACAUUAAGGAGCUCAAUGCAAACAAACAAUCGCGUGAGGAAACUGUAGAGAAGGCAGAAGAGAUUUUUGGUACAGAAAACAAGGAUUUGUACAUUUCCUUUCAGAAUUUGCUCAAUCGCAAUCUACCUUGAGUGUUUAUGUCGAAGGAAACAUUUUUGCUAGCAGAAACAGGUCUCUCUCUCUUUCUAUCAAACGAAACAUUUUUACUGCUAGUGUUGUUGGAGUUGAUUACAUAGACAUACUUGUCAAGGAAAUAUCUUCUUUAAGGUAAUUCUGGAGGCGGUAAGGAGAGCUUCUAUAUAUUUUUACUACAUCAAAAUAGAGCUUUAUGCUUCUAUAGGUUC